rnacentral:RNase_P_RNA from 4 species
GCGUACAACCGGGCGCGGCCUCUUUUGCUUUAUGCAAAAGGGGAGGAAAGUCCGGACAGCAGAGUAGACGGUGCUCCAUGAAAAUGGAGGCUUUGACAGUUAGAGCAACAGUGACGAAUCGGGUGGCGCCGAGUGAAACGAUCAAGCUACUGGAUCUAUUCCUUCGGGAAUGGGGCAAUCCUCCCGGCUGCAACGAACGACCUUGACCUUAUUAGACCUACUCCUGGUGCUUUGGCAACAAAGCCGGGUCAUCAAGCUUUCGGCAUUAGACAAAUCUCGCCUAAAACAGAAUCCGGCUUACGGGUUGUACGCUUUU